CGGUGUUUAACUGGCGUGAUGUGGGACGUCCUACCGGUGGGCUUAGCCUCGCGAGGGGCGGCCCAACUAAUAUCCCGUCGCGGUGCUCUUUACUGAGUGUCGAGUCGGGCCGGUACGUUUACUUUGAACAAAUUAGAGUGCUUAAAGCAGGCUAUCCUCGCCUGAAUACUGCGUGCAUGGAAUAAUGGAAUAGGACCUCGGUUCUAUUUUGUUGGUUUUCGGAACCCCGAGGUAAUGAUUAAUAGGGACAGAUGGGGGCAUUCGUAUUGCGACGUUAGAGGUGAAAUUCUUGGAUCGUCGCAAGACGGACAGAAGCGAAAGCAUUUGCCAAAAAUGUUUUCAUUAAUCAAGAACGAAAGUUAGAGGUUCGAAGGCGAUCAGAUACCGCCCUAGUUCUAACCAUAAACGAUGCCAGCUAGCGAUCCGCCGAAGUUCCUCCGAUGACUCGGCGGGCAGCUUCCGGGAAACCAAAGCUUUUGGGUUCCGGGGGAAGUAUGGUUGCAAAGCUGAAACUUAAAGGAAUUGACGGAAGGGCACCACCAGGAGUGGAGCCUGCGGCUUAAUUUGACUCAACACGGGAAACCUCACCAGGCCCAGACACCGGAAGGAUUGACAGAUUGAUAGCUCUUUCUUGAUUCGGUGGGUGGGUGGUGCAUGGGCCGUUCUUAGUUGGUGGAGCGAUUUGUCUGGUUAAUUCCGAUAACGAACGAGACUCUAGCCUGCUAAAUAGGCGUACCUUAUGGUAUCGCGAAGGCCCCCGGCUUCGGCCGGUGGGUUUUUACUACCAACGUACAAACAAAUCUUUUUAGAGGGACAGGCGG
rnacentral:rRNA from 1 species